AACGAACGCUGGUGGCGUGCCUAACACAUGCAAGUCGUGCGUGAAAGUCCCUUCGGGGGCGAGUAAAGCGGCGGACGGGUGAGUAAUACAUGGGUAAUCUACGCUCGAGCUCGGGAUAACCCCGCGAAAGUGGGGCUAAUACCGGAUAAGACCACGUGACCCAGGUCGCGUGGUAAAAGGUGGCUUUUAGUUUCGGCUGAGAGCUAUCACUUGGGACUGAGCCCAUGUCCUAUCAGCUAGUUGGUGAGGUAACGGCUCACCAAGGCUAUGACGGGUAACUGGUCUAAGAGGACGGCCAGUCACACUGGGACUGAGACACGGCCCAGACUCCUACGGGAGGCUG
rnacentral:rRNA from 1 species